CCGAUGUGGGGGAUAUAUUGUUCUUGCUGCGUUUAUUUUCAUCAAUAUGAAUAAUCUUAUUGAUAUUCUUAUUUUUCCUUCGUAUCAUUUAGCAAAUUGAAAAAAAAGCAAUACGGUUAUUCCCUAAUUUAACAUUUAUGGGUGUACGCCAAUGUGAUGUCAACAGUUGACAUCCCCUCUCCUUUUCUGAUUUUGCUCCCAACAUAGUAUGGCUAAUACAAAUUGUUUGAUAUUUGCUAAUAAAGUGACUGUUUGUGGGACUUCUCUCCUGUGCCCCGUUAUAAUUAGAACCUGUUUCUUUUAUUGUUGUAUUUCCACGGACCCUGUGUUUGUUUUUGUUUGUUACGAUAUAGUUUAUCUUUAACUAGGGAAUUGUGUGAUGGGCCUACAUUAUCGAUUUUGGCAGCAUCGUCCGUGUUUAUUCAGAACAGCGUUUACAAUAAAAACAAUGUUGACUUGUGCUGUUUUGUUUUCAGCGACACAAUGCUAUGGAUACGAAUCGAGGUGGCCCAGCGUAUACUGCUCAGCUUCAUGCUACUGUUUAAAGGUUGUUAAUGUGGGGAGAACAUGGCAUGAUGCAAAGGCGCACUGUGCUGCUGAAGGGACCUACCUGCUAAAAGUCGGCACUAAGGACCAAUUGGAAUUUGCCCUGGAAGUCAUGGAUAAGCAUACUGAUGUAUCUUACAUUUGGGUAGGCGGUUACAAGGAGACAACCUCUGAUCCUUUGAAGUGGUUAGAUGGCACUCUCAUCGACACCAGUUUGUUGACGACAGAGAACAUUGGAACGUGUGUUUGAAUUUGGGGAGCCAUUGGAAAAUUAGAUGAUGGUUACUGUUACUUCAACUUUCAUUUUCUAUGUCAUAUUUGAAUAUCAUAGGGAUACCAACUUAAUCAGUUACAUUGUACAGACGUGACUUUGCAAAAUGCAUUUUCAACUUUGUAGAAAGACUGAGUCUCAUUGUUUUGGUUGGUAACAUUACUUUCAUACAUCAUUGGAUGUACCUUUGUUUAAAUGUGUGGAGGUUAGGUAUCUUUUCGAUCGUACAUAAUUUGUUUACCUAAAUGUAUUGGGGAUUUGUGAGUCUUCGAUCGUACGUACUUCAUUUGUUUAAAUGUGAUAGUUUGGAUUUCUCAUCUGUCUACAUACUUUGAUUGUUUAAAUGAUAAUGCCUCUUUUGUAUAUACUAUGCAUAUUGAAUAUUUACAUUCUUGUGAAUAGGACAUCUGCUUUAUCGAUAUAUCCUGAAUAUUACGUCAUUUCCCGUUCAGAAGCAUAAAUAAAUUGAUGAAAACAACAGAAUAUGGGGAAACUUUAAGUUUUCGAUAGCAUAGAUCUAAUAUAAAUGCUAACAAAUAACGAAGGGGUUGUCUCCCUUCCGCUGUAAUUCAUUGUGGUCACACAAUGUGUUGUAAUGUAAGAACAAAAUGUGUAAACAUGUUCUAGGGUUUUGAAUUAUUUCAAGGCGGGCAUCAUAUUGAGUCUUGAAUUAUCUAUAUAUAGGGCACGAACCAAUUAUUGUAGAAAAACAAAUAUCUUUUUGUUAUCACUUUUAAAUAAAAGUUAUUUUGUGUUGAAUUUAAUUGAUAUCCUUUAUAAACAUAUAACUUUCUGCUAAAGUAAAUGGGCAGCCCGCUCUAUGUGAGAUAAAUGCCCAAUCGGGAACCGUCGCCACUUUCCGUAAACGAAUAAAUAUUUUCUCGUUUACGGAAUAAGCCGACGGUUUACGAUUGAUAAAUGCCAAACAAAUGUGAACUCUUUGUUAUUGGAGUCGUAUUACAGAACGUUGGAACUCUUAUUUAUUGGAGUCGUAUUACAGAACGUUGGAACUCUUUGUUAUUGGAGUCGCAUUACAGAACGUUGGAACUCUUUGUUAUUGGAGUCGCAUUACAGAACGUUGGAACUCUUUACCUUACAAGACAUAUGGUUGCUAUUGACAUUGAUAUCUCAUAAAAAUGUAAAUUAUAUACAGUGAUCACACACAGGUUGUGUUCACGAAGAAUUUUAUUUGUCGAAGUUAUUUGAUAAAAAAUAUUCUUACAGAAAAUAAGUAUCAUGUGAACUUAAAAAAUACAAUGAAAAUGGGUAAACAACAUCACAUAAUAAUGCCAUCAUAUUUCAGCUUAUUAUGCAAUAAUUAAAGAGUUGAAAUAUAUGUAGAUCAUUAUAGUAUAAAAAUAUCUGACAUGAAUUUCACCUUAUUGUGCAAUAACAAUAUUUCGAUCAAUGUUAGUUUUUCUUACAUGAAUUUCAGUUAAGAGUUCAAUACACACAUUUCUAAACAUAUAUAUAUAUUCAGAUCAAUGACACCAUAUGGAAAAAAAAUGAAAAUACUUUGCUGUUUAUUAUGCCACAGAUAUACAUAUUCAUAUGAUUAUUAUAGUUGUGACAAAUAACAUAAUCUCAGGGCAGUUAAUCGCGCAAUACACAAAUACCAGAUAUAAGUUCAGAUCAUUGUUUCUAUACCUUACAUGAAUUUCAGCCACUUUUUGCACAACACAAAUACAAGAAAUAUAUUCAGUGCGUUGACAUUUUGAGUUGAGUAUUUCAUUCGAGAUUGUUGCUCCAAAUAUAAUAUUACAAAAUUUGUACAUUUUUGAUGUUAAACGGACAUUCAUUAGCAGUGAUAUGUUUAUGUCAGUAUACAUUAAAAAUAACAGCUAGAUACAUGGCAAUAUAAGCACUUAUUUCACACUGGCAAUGCGUAUUGAAUUAAUACAAGAGUAUAUAAAUCUGAUAUCUCUAAACACCACAACGUUAUUUUAAAGAUACCAUAAAAGUCAGGGGUUACAUUCACUAACACUUACACUCAUUUACAUUCACUUUCAUUCACUUACACUCACUUACUUUCACUUACAUUCACUCAUUUACACUCACUUACACUCACUUACAUUCACUCGUUUACACUCACUUACACACAUCAACUUACAUUAACUUACACUCACUAACAUUCAUUUACACUCAUUUACAUUCACUUACAUUCAUUUACACUCAAUUACUUUCACUUACCUUCACGUUCAUUCACUUACAUUCACUCACUCACUUUCACUCACAUUCACUUACAUUCCCUUACACUCGUUUACGUUCACUUACGCUUACACUCACUUACAAUCCCUUGCACUCACUUACACUCAUUGACAUUCACUUACAUUCACUUACAUUCACUCGAAUUCACUUACAUCGUAAGUCAGCGUAACCCCUGGAUUUUCGAGGAUGCAACAACUGGUUACGACGAGCAAACCGUUUGUGUAAAUAUUUUAAAUCUUAUCCUAUUCUGAAAUAUAUAAUUGUGUUAUAGACUCUGGAAGGAAAGUAUACGUGGAUUUUGUCAAUAUGGGCUCAUGUGUCAUUUUUUUAUAAACGAAAAUCGGAACAUUGAGAAUAAUAACAAUUAUAAAAGAAAUUCUUCUGUUGUUCUAAUAUAUCAAAGUACAUUUUAUGUUUAUGUUUUGAGUAUAUCUAAUAGUCAUGUAGAUAGAUGUAAGUGAGGUUUACUUUAAAUAAAAUCAAGGAUCAGAAUAUCAUUUCUUUUAUGCUGUUGCAUAUUAAUGGCGAGUCAACAUUUCCUCUCUCACAACCACACAUUAAACUUGUAUCCAUGUUUGUUCUUAGGCUUCCAUCUUACGAUAAAUGUGAUAAACAUGAAUACUAUUGUCAAUCGGGUGAAUUCAUCAAAAAUGUGAAAAAGCAAAAUCUAAAGGAAGUACAGAUCAUAUCACACAUGGAUACUAAGUAUCUCUCAACAGGAUAUACAUUCCACUAUAUUCCUACACUUGUACAGUUAUAUGCCGUUAUACCUACGUCGGUGACAUGUAUGAAAUUUAUCAAAGUUUGUCAGUCGGCAGCGAAAAGAAAAUGCAUUUUUUUUGUGACUAAGUAAGUUUAGUUUUUACUCAGAGUCAUCUCUCUCUUCUAAUUAGAAGAUGAAACAACCAUAUUUUGCUGGAUUAGGGUAACUGACAUUCAUUCGUGGGAGACAAUUUCUGUGACUUAUUACGGUUAAGGCUACCACCGUCUUGGUUGUAAUCAGGAAAAAAAGUUCCCCUCAUAGUUAAUUAUUACUUAGAGUAUUCGCCCUUCUAUAUAGAAGAUGAAACAAUCAUAUUUUUUGCCUUAGAGUUAUUUCCCCCUGCUAUUGUUUUCAUAAGCUUUACGGCCGAUGAAUUGACACUCAUUUCGAUACUGUGCUUCUACAAUUACACGAUAGCAACAUCGAUGAAGCGUUAGCUUUGUAAUGUUUCCUGUUUUAUCGUUGCGGUGUUUCUCUUUUCAUUUUUCUUUCUUUCUUUCAAAUAUUCAAAUUUCGAACGACUAUUGUUUUGUAAAAUAUCAUUGCAUCAUUUCUUUUUUGAUUUUAUACUUCGUUUGAAAAGGAUUUAUUUAGAUAUUUCACAAUAUUGACAACUGAAAUAAUUUAGUUUAACCUGUUGAUAUCCUUUAUCGAAAUGCACAUCUUUGAAAAUAAUAUUUUUAUGAACACCGUAAAAUGUCUUUGGUUUAGAAUGGAGAGAAA
rnacentral:lncRNA from 1 species